rnacentral:rRNA from 1 species
GACGAACGCUGGCGGCGUGCCUAAUACAUGCAAGUUGAGCGCUGAAGGUUGGUACUUGUACCAACUGGAUGAGCAGCGAUCGGGUGAGUAACGCGUGGGGAAUCUGCCUUUGAGCGGGGGACAACAUUUGGAAACGAAUGCUAAUACCGCAUAAAAACUUUAAACACAAGUUUUAAGUUUGAAAGAUGCAAUUGCAUCACUCAAAGAUGAUCCCGCGUUGUAUUAGCUAGUUGGUGAGGUAAAGGCUCACCAAGGCGAUGAUACAUAGCCGACCUGAGAGGGUGAUCGGCCACAUUGGGACUGAGACACGGCCCAAACUCCUACGGGAGGCAGCAGUAGGGAAUCUUCGGCAAUGGACGAAAGUCUGACCGAGCAACGCCGCGUGAGUGAAGAAGGUUUUCGGAUCGUAAAACUCUGUUGGUAGAGAAGAACGUUGGUGAGAGUGGAAAGCUCAUCAAGUGACGGUAACUACCCAGAAAGGGACGGCUAACUACGUG